rnacentral:misc_RNA from 1 species
AAGUCGUAACAAGGUUUCCGUAGGUGAACCUGCGGAAGGAUCAUUAACACGGUCGUACUCGUACGUCCGUUAGAAAAAGCAGCAUCCCUGGUAAAUCAUCGCCGAACAGUUUUCGGUUCAGGGACGUCUGCAAGGAGCGUGCAUGUUGUGCGUGUAAGUGGCCUGGCAUCCCCAAGCAGUUAGUGUCUGAAAGUGUCACUAACGUUAGUGUCUGAAAGUGUCACUAACAUGUGUAAGGAUGACGCAGUCACGAUCGUUGGAGGCCCACACGGCCGACGACCGGGUCACUGGGUGCAAGCCCCCUUAUCACACCCCUGCUCUAUCUAUGGUGAUCCUGCGGGAAGUCCUGCGGUCGAACGCCGAAACCGAACAACUGUUAACAAUGGAUAUCUUGGUUCUC